UACGUAGGGGGCAAGCGUUGUCCGGAUUUAUUGGGCGUAAAGAGCGUGUAGGCGGCCUGAAAGGUCAGCUGUGAAAACUCGAGGCUCAACCUCGAGACGUCGGUUGAAACCAUCUGGCUAGAGUCCGGAAGAGGAGAGUGGAAUUCCCGGUGUAGCGGUGGAAUGCGCAGAUAUCGGGAAGAACACCCGUGGCGAAGGCGGCUCUCUGGGACGGUACUGACGCUGAGACGCGAAAGCGUGGGGAGCGAACAGG
rnacentral:rRNA from 1 species